rnacentral:rRNA from 1 species
AUUGAACGCUGGCGGCAGGCCUAACACAUGCAAGUCGAACGAGUGGCGGACGGGUGAGUAAUGUCUGGGACACUGCCUGAUGGAGGGGGACAACUACCGGAAACGGUAGCUAAUACCGCAUACCAUCAGAUGUGCCCAGAUGGGAUUAGCUAGUUGGUGGGGUAACGGCUCACCAAGGCGACGAUCCCUAGCUGGUCUGAGAGGAUGAUCAGUCACACUGGAACUGAGACACGGUCCAGACUCCUACGGGAGGCAGCAGUGGGGAAUAUUGCACAAUGGGCGAAAGCCUGAUCCAGCCAUGCCGCGUGUAUGAAGAAGGCCUUCGGGUUGUAAAGUACUUUCAGCUGGGAGGCGUUACCAGCAGAAGAAGCACCGGCUAACUCCGUGCCAGCAGCCGCGGUAAUUC